AUUGAACGCUGGCGGCAGGCCUAACACAUGCAAGUCGAACGGUAGCAGGAAGAAGCUUGCUUCUUUGCUGACGAGUGGCGGACGGGUGAGUAAUGUCUGGGAAACUGCCUGAUGGAGGGGGAUAACUACUGGAAACGGUAGCUAAUACCGCAUAACGUCGCAAGACCAAAGAGGGGGACCUUCGGGGCUCUUGCCAUCAGAUGUGCCCAGAUGGGAUUAGCUAGUAGGUGGGGUAACGGCUCACCUAGGCGCCGAUCCCUAGCUGGUCUGAGAGGAUGACCAGCCACACUGGCACUGAGACACGGUCCAGACUCCUACGGGAGGCAGCAGUGGGGAAUAUUGCACAAUGGGCGCAAGCCUGAUGCAGCCAUGCCGCGUGUGUGAAGAAGGCCUUCGGGUUGUAAAGCACUUUCAGCGGGGAGGAAGGGGGAAUGGUUAAUAACCAUUGUCAUUGACGUUACCCGCAGAAGAAGCACCGGCUAACUCCGUGCCAGCCGCCGCUGUAA
rnacentral:rRNA from 1 species